GUGACAUCACAUAUAUGGCGAC
rnacentral:miRNA from 1 species